UACAGAGGGUGCGAGCGUUAAUCGGAAUUACUGGGCGUAAAGCGCACGCAGGUGGCUGAGUCAGUCGAUUGUGAAAGCCCUGGGCUUAACCUGGGAAUUGCAGUCGAUACUACUCGGCUUGAGUAUGGGAGAGGGCAGUGGAAUUCUCGGUGUAGCGGUGAAAUGCGUAGAUAUCGAGAGGAACAUCAGUGGCGAAGGCGGCUGCCUGGCCCAAUACUGACACUCAGGUGCGACAGCGUGGGGAGCAAACAGG
rnacentral:rRNA from 1 species